UUUUUUUUUUUUUGAGCAAUGUAUUGUUAUACACAUGUAUAUGAGAAGACAGAGAUUUGGAUAUAUUAUGUACACUCUUAAACUCCAGAAGUAAAGUGGAAGUGGUAAAAAGAAAAAAGUUUUAUGACAUUCAUUCUGCUUCAGAUUAAUGGCAGUAACACAUUUGUUAGCAGAUAGAUUGUAUUAGAUUCAUCUUGACAUUUGUGAAACAAAAACAAAAAACAAAUGAAUGAAACAAACAAAAACAAAAACAAAAACACCCUUCUCAGUUUCUGGGCUCUUUAAAGAGACUCAUUAGCAGCCGAGUCCAAGAAUCUGUAUGUGAGUAAAUCCACCUAGAGAUCCUGACAUGUGCCUUGGUUUAGGAGCCACCCCUUGGUACAUUUGCCUCUGAGGCAUCAAAUCUAAGCACAUCAUGGUGUAAAUGAUGCAAUAAAAGCUAUAGCAACAAACCCUAAUGAUUUAUUUCCAAAGAAAUAAACUUUCAGGAGAGUCUUUUAUCCCAAGGACAUCCUUUUGGGUUUAUAUUCUUAUAUGUCAACAGAGCUACCUUUUGUUUUGAGAAAAAUGCAACCAUUAAGGAAUAGAGAAGGUUAAUUGAUGGUAAAAUGAAAAAAUUGCUCUAUACCUUAUGGCAUUAAGUGUUUUCCUUUUCCAGAAUAUCUGCAAAGUUUUCCUUGGGCUCU
rnacentral:lncRNA from 1 species